GCUUUCGGUUUAUAACAAAUGUCAUCCUAUUCGUUUCAGUAUGCUGAACGCGAAAUAUUAUGUUUUGUUAAAAAUGAAUAGUUCUGGAGUAUAUAUACAACAUCGGCUACUACUACAGAGAUGAAUCCUACAUUGUAUGUACCAACGUGUUGUGUCAUGACGGCGCGCUACAGUCAGUUGCAGCAUGCUUGCGACCACACUUUCUCCCGACUAAUCGACUAAAAUUUAAUAUUCAGAUUCUCGUAAUCAGCAACCAUGGAAACCUAGGCAUACAACUCUGUCAAUGUUUUACAUUUUGACCAUUAUUCGGGUUUCGCUACCACUGUGAGCCGGCACUCUAAAAAGUAGAAAAGUAGGGGGCCUAGUCUAGCUGCGUGCAUACUGCAUAAUGCGCACGCAGUAGACACCAGGUGUGGCGCGCCGUCACGGACGCGUAGGUAUAUGCGCAGGAUUAACGAUCUUAUGGUAGCAGAAGUUUUUCACGAAUAUAUCAAAAAGUAUUCAUUUUCGCCAAAAAUGACGAAUACAUUUCGCGUUUAGCAUACCGAUAGCGUCUAGUGUGUCUAGUGAUAUAAUGUCUAUUAUAAUUGCAACCGAUAUGGAGAAAAUUGAUAAUAAUUGCCUUUUAUCUUGGGCCUACUGCGAGUAGAUACGUUCCUGCCCAAAAGAAAAACCGGCCAAUGAAGAUCUAUGACGCACGUGUGUCUUGUAAUUACAUAGUAAUUUAUAACGAAUAUUAUUGACGAGUAUCGUAUAUGAAUUGUAUAUUAUACGUUGCCAUUAAUUAUAAAACCACAACUAUGAUAGAAACAUGCCAUUAUAACAAAAUAAACUGAAUCUAUCACAACAUUAAAAUAACCUAACUCGAAUAUGUACUACGAAUUUCAUGUGCACACCUUAAUUACCUGCAAUUACGAUAAUUUGUUAUGUAUAUAAUAUAUAUAUGACCAAUUUAAACUUA